ACCUUGGCAGGAGUGGAUUCAGCAGAGCUGUACCGACAAGCCAGAUUGCAGGGCAUUAAGAAAGUAGCAGGGGGUGAGGAAGCAGAAGAAGUGCGUGGAACACUCGGAGAGAGAGCUGGCAGGACAUGGAAGGGCAGAGACGGUUCUGGAGGCAGCCAGGCCAGGGUCUGUGGUGCCUCCUCUGUUUUUCCCAAGGAGUCCCAGGCUACCAGAAGUUAUCUGAGGGCCUCUCACGUGUGCAUUAAGAGUGGCAAGACAAAACAAAUGAAGAAAAAUAUUUCAGCCGACUGAGAAGAAAAAAUUUUUCCACAAAAACAAGUUCCAAGAAGAGAAACACAUAAAGGCCUUUUAAAUACAUUUA